GGCGAGUUGCCCGAGCGGCCAAAGGGAGCAGACUGUAAAUCUGCCGGCUUCUGCCUACGCAGGUUCGAACCCUGCACUCGCCA
rnacentral:tRNA from 1 species